rnacentral:rRNA from 1 species
AUACGUAGGGUGCAAGCGUUAAUCGGAAUUACUGGGCGUAAAGCGUGCGCAGGCGGUUCGGAAAGAAGGAUGUGAGAUCCCAGGGCUCAACCUUGGAACUGCAUUCUUAACUACCGAACUAGAGUAUGUCAGAGGGGGGUAGAAUUCCGCGUGUAGCAGUGAAAUGCGUAGAUAUGCGGAGGAAUACCGAUGGCGAAGGCAGCCCCCUGGGAUAAUACUGACGCUCAUGCACGAAAGCGUGGGUAGCAAACAGGAUUAGAUUCCCUGGUAGUCCACGCCCUAAACGAUGUCAACUAGCUGUUGGGCCCUUCGGGGCUUAGUAGCGUAGCUAACGCGUGAAGUUGACCGCCUGGGGAGUACGGUCGCAAGAUUAAAACUCAAAGGAAUUGACGGGG